rnacentral:rRNA from 1 species
AUUCCAGCUCCAAUAGCGUAUAUUAAUGUUGUUGCAGUUAAAAAGCUCGUAGUUGGAUUCCUGGCACGGGGUAGCCGGUCCGCCUUGCAAAAGGUGCGCACUGAGCGGCCUCGGCCAUCCUUGCGAUGGUCUAUCCUGGCAUUCAGUUGUCGGGGUGGGGAUUCGCGACGUUUACUGUGAAAAAAUCAGAGUGUUCAACGCAGGCUUACGCCUUGAAUACAUUAGCAUGGAAUGAUGAGAUAGGACCUUGGCGGUCUAUUUUGUUGGUUUGCACGCCGAGGUAAUGAUUAAAAGGGACGGUUGGGGUUCUUCGUAUUCAAUUGUCAGAGGUGAAAUUCUUGGAUUUAUGGAAGACGAACUGCUGCGAAAGCGUCGAACAAGGACGUUCUCAUCA